rnacentral:lncRNA from 1 species
UACCUCUUGAGUUUCCAUCCCGUUGCUUUACUUUAUGAUGAUACCAUCUCUUCUAUUUUUCCUUAUAGAAAAUCAAAUAUUGUUCCACUGGAAUUCCUCUUCGAACGAAACGAAACUGUUUGAGAAACUGACGGUUGAAAACGAAUUGUUGCAUCUCUUGACUAUAGUAUCAUUAUUGAACACAAUCUCAAUUCUUUGUGUACAGAUUGAAAAUUAGGUUUGCGUUCAUUUAUGCAGCCGUUAAUGAUGUAAUAUAUACUGCUUUCUUCUAAAUGUCCCUUCCAUAUAUUCACUUGAUCAGUGAAAAGUAUAGGCAUUGAGUUGAGAGAGCAGAAUCGGCUAUGAAGCAAAACC